GUGUGUCCCUGUGCAGGGAAGGGACAGCUGGGAGAUGAGCAGCGGCCAGGAGGCUCUGUCCCUGCUGGGUGGGCAGUGGCCUGGGGCAGACUGCCGUCGCUGCGCUUGGGGCAGUGCCAGCGGCUGGGGUACCCAAGGCGGCCGCUCCUCCUGGAGGGCCCGUCCUGGCCUUCUGCAGCUUCCUGGAGAGGUUCCCGGACGCACAAGCCCCUGCCGCCCAGCUCGUGUCCUCUCUCCCUGGAUGCCACGGCCGACUCGCUGUGCUGUAGCACUCUGUGCAGUGUCUCCCACGAGCCCACCCUGAUCAGCCGGGUUGGCCAGCUCAGUGGCCUCCUCUACGCUCAGGAUG